rnacentral:rRNA from 1 species
GACGAACGCUGGCGGCGUGCCUAAUACAUGCAAGUAGAACGCUGAAGGAGGAGCUUGCUUCUCCGGAUGAGUUGCGAACGGGUGAGUAACGCGUAGGUAACCUGCCUGGUAGCGGGGGAUAACUAUUGGAAACGAUAGCUAAUACCGCAUAAUAGUAGAUGUUGCAUGACAUUUGCUAAAAAUGUGCAAUUGCAUCACUACCAGAUGGACCUGCGUUGUAUUAGCUAGUUGGUGAGGUAACGGCUCACCAAGGCGACGAUACAUAGCCGACCUGAGAGGGUGAUCGGCCACACUGGGACUGGGACACGGCCCAGACUCCUACGGGAGGCAGCAGUAGGGAAUCUUCGGCAAUGGACGGAAGUCUGACCGAGCAACGCCGCGUGAGUGAAGAAGGUUUUCGGAUCGUAAAGCUCUGUUGUAAGAGAAGAACGAGUGUGAGAGUGGAAAGUUCACACUGUGACGGUAUCUUACCAGAAAGGGACGGCUAACUACGUG